GAGGUGAACGUAACAGUGGACGUGAAGCUGCAGAUCACCAGCCAAAAAUUCACCCCUGCGCUGAAGGACAACACAACUCAAGAAUACAAAAAGUUUACCUUGGACUUCAAACUGCAGAUGAAGUUGGUUUACAGCAACGUUGCAGGGUACAAAGACGUGGUGAUCCUGAAACUGACGCAGGGCAGCGUCGUGGUGGAUCACACUGUCAUCCUGGCUUUACCCGUCACCGAGGAACUCAACACGAAGGUUGAGAAGGUGGCUGGGCAGCUGAAGGCGCAGAUAGAGAAGGUGGC